UACGAAGGGGGCUAGCGUUGCUUGGAAUCACUGGGCGUAAAGCGCACGUAGGCGGAUUGUUAAGUCAGGGGUGAAAUCCUGGAGCUCAACUCCAGAACUGCCUUUGAUACUGGCGAUCUUGAGUCCGGGAGAGGUGAGUGGAACUGCGAGUGUAGAGGUGAAAUUCGUAGAUAUUCGCAAGAACACCAGUGGCGAAGGCGGCUCACUGGCCCGGUACUGACGCUGAGGUGCGAAAGCGUGGGGAGCGAACAGG
rnacentral:rRNA from 1 species